CCUACGGGAGGCAGCAGUGGGGAAUAUUGCACAAUGGGGGGAACCCUGAUGCAGCGACGCCGCGUGAGUGAAGAAGUAUUUCGGUAUGUAAAGCUCUAUCAGCAGGGAAGAAGAUGACGGUACCUGACUAAGAAGCCCCGGCUAACUACGUGCCAGCAGCCGCGGGAAUACGUAGGGGGCAAGCGUUAUCCGGAUUUACUGGGUGUAAAGGGAGCGUAGACGGCAGGGCAAGUCUGGAGUGAAAGCCCGGGGCCCAACCCCGGGACUGCUUUGGAAACUGCCAUGCUAGAGUGCUGGAGAGGUAAGCGGAAUUCCUAGUGUAGCGGUGAAAUGCGUAGAUAUCACGAAGAACUCCGAUUGCGAAGGCAGCUUACUAAACUGCCACUGACAUUGAUGCUCGAAAGUGUGGGUAUCAAACAGGAUUAGAUACCCUGGUAGUC
rnacentral:rRNA from 1 species